GAUGAACGCUAGCGACAGGCUUAACACAUGCAAGUCGAGGGGCAGCGGGGGUAGCGAUACCCGCCGGCGACCGGCGCACGGGUGAGUAACGCGUAUGCAACUUGCCUAUCAGAGGGGGAUAACCCGGCGAAAGUCGGACUAAUACCGCAUGAAGCAGGGGCCCCGCAUGGGGGUAUUUGCUAAAGAUUCAUCGCUGAUAGAUAGGCAUGCGUUCCAUUAGGCAGUUGGCGGGGUAACGGCCCACCAAACCGACGAUGGAUAGGGGUUCUGAGAGGAAGGUCCCCCACAUUGGUACUGAGACACGGACCAAACUCCUACGGGAGGCAGCAGUGAGGAAUAUUGGUCAAUGGCCGAGAGGCUGAACCAGCCAAGUCGCGUGAGGGAUGAAGGUUCUAUGGAUCGUAAACCUCUUUUAUAAGGGAAUAAAGUGCGGGACGUGUCCCGUUUUGUAUGUACCUUAUGAAUAAGGAUCGGCUAACUCCGUGCCAGCAGCCGCGGUAAUACGGAGGAUCCGAGCGUUAUCCGGAUUUAUUGGGUUUAAAGGGUGCGUAGGCGGCCUUUUAAGUCAGCGGUGAAAGUCUGUGGCUCAACCAUAGAAUUGCCGUUGAAACUGGGGGGCUUGAGUAUGUUUGAGGCAGGCGGAAUGCGUGGUGUAGCGGUGAAAUGCUUAGAUAUCACGCAGAACCCCGAUUGCGAAGGCAGCCUGCCAAGCCAUGACUGACGCUGAUGCACGAAAGCGUGGGGAUCAAACAGGAUUAGAUACCCUGGUAGUCCACGCAGUAAACGAUGAUCACUAGCUGUUUGCGAUACAUUGUAAGCGGCACAGCGAAAGCGUUAAGUGAUCCACCUGGGGAGUACGCCGGCAACGGUGAAACUCAAAGGAAUUGACGGGGGCCCGCACAAGCGGAGGAACAUGUGGUUUAAUUCGAUGAUACGCGAGGAACCUUACCCGGGUUUGAACGCAUUCGGACCGAGGUGGAAACACCUUUUCUAGCAAUAGCCGUUUGCGAGGUGCUGCAUGGUUGUCGUCAGCUCGUGCCGUGAGGUGUCGGCUUAAGUGCCAUAACGAGCGCAACCCUUGCCACUAGUUACUAACAGGUAAAGCUGAGGACUCUGGUGGGACUGCCAGCGUAAGCUGCGAGGAAGGCGGGGAUGACGUCAAAUCAGCACGGCCCUUACAUCCGGGGCGACGCACGUGUUACAAUGGCGUGGACAAAGGGAAGCCACCUGGCGACAGGGAGCGAAUCCCCAAACCACGUCUCAGUUCGGAUCGGAGUCUGCAACCCGACUCCGUGAAGCUGGAUUCGCUAGUAAUCGCGCAUCAGCCAUGGCGCGGUGAAUACGUUCCCGGGCCUUGUACACACCGCCCGUCAAGCCAUGGGAGUCGGGGGUACCUGAAGUCCGUAACCGAAAGGGUCGGCCUAGGGUAAAACUGGUGAC
rnacentral:rRNA from 1 species